CCCUCCCACAAAGGCGUGCCUGUACUCUCCCAUGUGUUGGCACGUAAGAACUGGAGGCAGAUUAAUUGGGAUGGAGGCUAUUUUGUACAGGGCUGGCUACCACUCUGGGCUGUUCCUGGAUCCUCUGUUCCUACAGUU